AAGUAAAGAUAAUAAGGGCGUACGGUGGAUGCCUUGGCGAUAUCAGCCGAAGAAGGACGCGGUAAGCUGCGAUAAGCUACGGAGAGGUGCAAGCAACCUGUGACCCGUAGAUAUCCGAAUGGGGGAACCCGGCAGUGGUUAUGCACUGUCACCCAUAGCAUAGACUAUGAGGAGGGCACCCGGGGAACUGAAACAUCUAAUUACCCGGAGGAACAGUAAUCAAACGAGAUUUUCUUAGUAGCGGCGAGCGAACGGGAAAGAGGCCAAACCGGAGCGGGCAACCGUACCGGGGUUGAGGACAGUCAUCAAGUGUAAAUGAGGUAGAAGAAUCGAGCUGGAAAGCUCAGCCGCAGAAGGUGAAAGCCCUGUAAUCGAAACCUUGCAUACACGGGACUGUAUCCAGAGUACCACGAGACACGUGAAACCUUGUGGGAAGCAGGGGGGACCACCCUCCAAGCCAAAAUACUGAUAUCGACCGAUAGCGCAUAGUACCGUGAG
rnacentral:rRNA from 1 species